rnacentral:rRNA from 1 species
UAUCUCUGUAGAGUCUGCAUAUCAAUAAGCGGAGGAAAAGAAACUAACUAGGAUUCCCUUAGUAACGGCGAGUGAAGCGGGAAGAGCUCAAAUUUGAAAUCUUCAAGGUUCUACCUUGACGAAUUGUAGUUUAAAGAAGUGUUUUCUGUUAGAUGAGUAGCAAAAGUUCCUUGGAAUGGGACAUCAUAGAGGGUGAGAAUCCCGUAUUUGGUUAUUCAUUCUAGCUUUGUGAUACACUUUCAAAGAGUCGGAUUGUUUGGGAAUGCAGUCCAAAAUGGGUGGUAAAUUUCAUCUAAAGCUAAAUAUUGGCGAGAGACCGAUAGCGAACAAGUACCGUGAGGGAAAGAUGAAAAGAACUUUGAAAAGAGAGUUAAACAGUACGUGAAAUUGUCAAAAGGGAAGCGUUUGACACCAGUGUUGUUUUUCCGAAAAUCAAUUACGAAUGGCUUGAUUCUGUGUUGUAUUGACCUUAUCAGCUUUCUUCACUUUUUUCGAGUCUUUCUUAAUGCACUUUUCGGUUAACAAGUCAACAUCAAUUUCUUUUGUUGUAAAAGAGUAUUCGGAAGGUGGCUUUCUUUUCGGAGAAAGUGUUUAUAGCCCUAUACUUCUACAAUCGGAGAGAUUGAGGUCUGCAGCGUAGAUCCUUCGGGGUUAGAUACACUUUGUGCUAAGUUGUAGCUUUUCAUAGACAACUUGUCGACUAUGUUUAGUCAUGCGGCUUACUCGCUCUGUGCUAUUUUACCUACGCUUAGGAUGUUGACGAGACUGUCGAUCUC